UGCGGCUGGAUCACCUCCUUUCUAAGGAGCACUUCUCACCAAGCUUGCUUGGUCAGAGGCCAGUACAUCAGCGAACGUCUGAUGCUGGUUGCUCAUGGGUGGAACGUUGACUACUCGAUCUGGUUCACGGGUCGAAGGCCGCAAGUACUACCCGCAAGGGUGUGGAACGCGUGAUCUUCGGACGGGACCAGGUCGGGCACGCUGUUGGGUGUCUGAAGGUACGGGCCGUAUGGUCUUGUUCCUUCACACGCCGGCCCCAGUGAACUCGCUACUUCGGCGGUGGGGUGAUGGGUGGCUGGUCGUUGCUUGAGAACUGCACAGUGGACGCGAGCAUCUGU
rnacentral:misc_RNA from 1 species